AUUGCAUAUAAAGCGGUAACGCUCCAAAAUUUCAAAGCCCCAAAUAGUUAAAAAGAAGUCCGCCGACUCGUUUCCCCGACUCAGCACCACAAGAAGUCCGCCAAAUCUUUUCCCCGACUCAGGAUCACCGGCUCACCAGCUAUGGGCGAAUCCAUAACCAUCGACGGCAUGGACCAGGACUCGGCACUUUCCAAGUCAGAGUUUCUGAGUCGGCAAGAGGUACUUCGUCGGCGGUCGCGGCGGGUGAAGCAGCUGGCGAGGCUCUACAAAGCUCACUACUGGAAUCUAAUGGAGGAGCUCAAGAGAAAGCACAAGGAGUACUAUUGGCUGUACGGGAAGAGCCCCUUCAAAGAAGAUGAAAAGAAGAGUAGUGAAGAGAACGAUGGGAACAAGUUAGGGUUAAGGUCUCAGUUGAAGUGUCAGAUUUCUGAUUGUAAGGAGAAAGCGAUGGCGUUGACGAGGUUUUGUCAUAAGCAUAUUUUAAACGAUUCAAAGCAGAUGCUUUAUCGAGGCUGUAAUUUUCCUAUCAAGAGUGGGCAGAUAUGCAAGAAACCAGUACUAAGAUCCAUUAAUCCUCCUCAUUGCCCUGUCCAUGCUCAAGCUGCUGAAAAAUAUCUUUCACGAGCACUGAAAAGGGCAGGCCUUAAUUUCUCUUCGCCAAAUAAGCUUGCUCCCAAGUUGCACAUUGUUGUUGCAGAGUAUGUUCGCCAGAUUCAAACUAAAAGAAGAGCUGCACAACGAAAAGCUGUACCCAAAAUCAAGAUUGAGGAGAAAAUGAGUGAAAGCUGAAUAUAUUCUGCAGAAACAUGUUGAGCCAACAGAGUUAGUUGGUCUAUUGCUGCUGAUGGUGCUGACAUAUUUUAGUCUGGGCCAAGUAGGUUUCUGAUUCAGUGGAGCUAGGGUAGAGUACAGUGCAACACUGGAUUUGUUCCUUGGAGACAAUUUUUUGUGCAUAUAAUGUGAAGAUUUGCAUAAACAAGGUGGGUCUUACACAUUGUUUAUAUACAACCCAAAACAAACAGUGAGGAUAGCAGGGUGGAGCUGAAUAGGCUGUGCUUAGUUGUAGGGGUUAUGCUCCAGAUAGUGUAUGGUGCAGUGACCCUUUGGCAAAUUUGUCUUGAUAAACAUCGAGGUGGAUCUGAUGGUUUAUAUAAUGGGAAUUUGAGUUGAUAUUUUUGGUGAUGGAAAGUAAAUUGCACAUGUUUGCUCAUACUCCACGUUACAUUCUGUUAGAAAUCAUUUCUCCAGAGAAUAUUCAGGUCUGGUAUUUUUAGGUUAUUCAUGUUGUCCAGUGAUGAAAUUGGUGGAGACACCAAAGUGUAGGUUCAGUUGUAUCAGCAAAGGAGCAAUGGUGAUGUGAGUUGCAUAUAAUUGGGUAUUACUUGGGGUGAAUGUUCCAAAAGCUAUUUUAAAAUUUUGGUUAACUUUUAGUUCUUAAUAAUUUACUAUUAUCAACAAUUGUUUGCAUCAAUUUAAGUGUACUCUGGCAGCAAUUAUUUGCAACACUUAAAUAAGUGCACCACAUUCUUUCAAUAAAGCAAAUUGACAUAUAAUUCA